UAAUCAUAUGCACAUAGUUAAUAUAUCAGUAAGAGAAAAGAAAAGUUAAUAACUCCAAGACAAAAAGAAAAAUGAACCUACCUCCAAGAAUUUAAUACAUCACCAAGAUAAAAUGCUCUCAAUCAAAGCAUCCCCACAUAGUUGAGUUUCUGCAAAAUACUAUAUUGUCAAUGUAAAGUUUCUAACUACUAACUAGUACAAUAUCAUAAACACAAUAUUAAUCUAUUAACAAAACCUUAUGCAAAAUACUAUGAUGUCAACGUAAAGUUUCUAAAUACUUUCGCAGCAACAAAAACUCUGCAGUGUUAGUAUCAGAUAUAGUUUACACAAACAUAAAAGGAACUUAUGAUAUAAAAUACACUGCUAUGAAUUUUGCAUGCAGUGAAUCUCUCAGAUAUUGUGACUUCUUCCUUCUCAACCAGAAAAUUGAACCCAACAUAACUCAGACAAAAGAACUCAUAAGAAGAAAAAGACGAAUCGACGACGAAAAUGCGAACAAAUUAAAGAAGAAAAAUCAAAAGGAAGUACAUAUGAACCUAUAGUUAGAAAAUAACU
rnacentral:lncRNA from 1 species